GAAGUAACAAACUACUCUGUAUUACAAUCAACAAUCUUAGUGCUUUCUUUUUAUAUAGCCUAAAGGAGUUAAAGAAGAGUAUAGCAAGUCACCACUCUUGUGUUCGCAAGGUGAUGACAACUUCAACUCUAAACUUCGUUCUGAAAAUAACAAUCGUAGUAUCACAUACGUCUUCUAUACAUUACUGCCACCCGAAUUUGUCUCGACUCAGUGAGUGCAGUUGUAUCAAUAACUGCAAAUUACAUGGGACCC